UACGUAGGGGGCUAGCGUUGUCCGGAAUCAUUGGGCGUAAAGAGCGCGUAGGCGGCCCGGUAAGUCCGCUGUAAAAGUCCAGGGCUCAACCCUGGAAAGCCGGUGGAUACUGUCGGGCUCGAGUCCGGAAGAGGCGAGUGGAAUUCCUGGUGUAGCGGUGGAAUGCGCAGAUAUCAGGAGGAACACCAAUGGCGAAGGCAGCUCGCUGGGACGGUACUGACGCUGAGACGCGAAAGCGUGGGGAGCGAACAGG
rnacentral:rRNA from 1 species